rnacentral:rRNA from 1 species
UAACACGUAGGGGGCAAGCGUUGUCCGGAUUUAUUGGGCGUAAAGAGCUCGUAGGCGGUUCGCUAAGUCGGGUGUGAAACCUCCAGGCUCAACCUGGAGACGCCACCUGAUACUGGUGUGACUCGAGUCCGGUAGGGGAGCGUGGAAUUCCUGGUGUAGCGGUGAAAUGCGCAGAUAUCAGGAGGAACACCAGCGGCGAAGGCGGCGCUCUGGGCCGGAACUGACGCUGAGGAGCGAAAGCGUGGGUAGCAAACAGGAUUAGAUACCCUGGUAGUCCACGCCGUAAACGUUGGGCACUAGGUGUGGGGUCUUAUCAACGGAUUCCGUGCCGUAGCUAACGCAUUAAGUGCCCCGCCUGGGGAGUACGGCCGCAAGGCUA